AUGAGGAGAAAAAACACAAUUGAUUUGACUUGCAUCAGUGUGGCCAUACCACGUGGUUUGUGACGUCAUUUUGGCUAGCACGCUAAGUAGAAAUUUGUCAACAUUGGCCCCGCUUAGAAAUUUCAAAUCCACGUAAGUAUCUUAUUAUUUACUCUUUUUUGACGAAAUAAAGCGCAGGCUAAGGGAAAAGUUGAGCACUAUUCCCGGUUAUAUAAAUAUUUGUCACCAGAUGAGUAGUUUAGUCUAUCAUUCGAGGCAAAUUCCUAGUUUUUACGUUACAAUGCACGCAAGCACGACAAGCACAUUUGAAAUCGUCCAAAAUAUCUGUUUUAUAUUCCUUUUUGCAGUGAACCAAUAUGUGCGAACGUGAUUAAUUCCAUAUAAAAUGUGUUUUGUCCGAAAAAAUUACCUGAAAACACCACUUAAUGACAUUUCUAAUGUACAUCAACACUUUGGCUAACACGACAAGCAACGAAAUUCAAGGCAAGCACGGCAAGUCGAUAUAUUUGGCUAGAACGACUAGUUGUUAUUAAUUAUGUUUCUGAAGCGAUGUUAUUGUUUCAUAAAAAAAUAAAACUAUUAAAAAUGUUAUAAUUCCAUUUUCAUAUAGUCACUCGCGGAUAACAGGCUUAUAAGUCGUGUUUAUUUCAUAUUAUGCCGUAAAUUGACCUCCGAUGCAUUUAGAUUCCAACCCAAACUAUUGUUAAAACUUUCAGGCACUUCUUCUAUACAACCUCGAAAAAGAAUGUGUACAAACUCGUUGGUCAAUAUAACGUCGAUGGCAAAGGUGAAGAUGAACCAAACAUCAAGAGCUAUUCCGAUAUUCGUGACCACGAGUUUGACAACCCGGGGAGAUUGCGCGUGAAACCGAAGGCAAAAGAGGCCAAAAUGGACUCGAGUCGAAAUGCCGUUGCCAGGGAAACUUUAGGUGUACGGUGGGACUGUGCGAGGAGAAACGAAAGCAAGUUAUUGCCUACGUACAGAAUUGGACUAGACAUAGAAGAAAUUUGAUAAGAAACCGCCUUUCUGAAGAAUUCCGUGUUUUAGUAGCUUGACUUGAGCGAGAUAUAAAUAAUUAUUCAUGUGCAUAGUGUGUUAUUUUUUUCCCGUUUUUUAGUUAAUUGUGUCGUGUUCUGAGAAAACUAGGCAUAAUGCUUGUGCGCAAAUUUGUCAUCCCAGAUUAGCCUGUGCAGUGCGCACAGACUAAUCAGGGACGACAUUUUCUGCUUUUAUGGAAUUUUUCGUUUAAAUAAUGUCUCUUCUUAGCGAAAAUCUGGUUUAGGCGGAAAGUGUCGUCCCUGAUUAGCCUGUGCUGACUGCACAGGCAAAUCUGGGACGACACUUUACGCGGAAAAUGUCGUCCCUUAUAAGCCUGUGAUGACUUCAUAGGCAAAUCUGGGACGACACUUUACGCACAUGCAUUAUGCCCAGUUUUCUCAGUACACGACAAAAUUGUGCUGAAUAUUUAUCUCACUCAAAUAAAUGCUAAUGGUA